AGUGUGGUUAAUUCGAAGCAACGCGAAGAACCUUACCAGGCCUUGACAUGCAGAGAACUUCCAGAGAUGGAUUGGUGCCUUCGGGAACUCUGACACAGGUGCUGCAUGGCUGUCGUCAGCUCGUGUCGUGAGAUGCUGGGUUAAGGUCCCGUAACGAGCGCAACCCUUGUCCUUAGUUACCAGCACGUUAUGGUGGGCACUCUAAGGAGACUGCCGGUGACAAACCGGAGGAAGGUGGGGAUGACGUCAAGUCAUCAUGGCCCUUACGGCCUGGGCUACACACGUGCUACAAUGGUCGGUACAAAGGGUUGCCAAGCCGCGAGGUGGAGCUAAUCCCAUAAAACCGAUCGUAGUCCGGAUCGCAGUCUGCAACUCGACUGCGUGAAGUCGGAAUCGCUAGUAAUCGUGAAUCAGAAUGUCACGGUGAAUACGUUCCCGGGCCUU
rnacentral:rRNA from 1 species